UCAGACUGACUACAAAGAGACCACAUUCAAGUCCUCCAUCCCCCACUUAGUCUGACUGCUGCUCUCUCUGGCUCCACAACAAACCCCGCCCGGCCAUCAAGAGGUGUGAAUACCCAGCCAGCCUACAAGUAGAGGAUGCCAUUCGAUGAGACGGGCCGUAGAACCAGCGCUAUGAAGAGCACCAAUCGGGAUGCGUCUGUCCUCCACUCUGGAAAAUGGGACAGGGUCCGCUCCUGCUGAGGACGUCCUGGGCGAAGGAGGGCAUAGAGAACAGCCCCGAGAUACUACAGGUUUGGGAACCAGUGUGUCCAGUGCGCGGGCUCGCUGUAGGUGAGCCCACAACGGUUUGGCGCAACGUGGCCCAUCCUGCUCUCCUGAAUCGGCAUCGGGACCUGUCCUGGAUGGUCGCCCACGAGAUCCUCCCGGUCAGGGCCGUUAUGCACUCACGGGGGCAUGGCGAGGACAUCCGCGUGCCCCCGACCAGGCUGCGGCCAAGAAGAGUCGGUGAGGCACAUGCUCUGGGAGUGCAGAGCCGCCAGGGACCUGUGGAAGGAAGCAGGCUCCCUGAUCACCUCAUGUCUGCCAGCAGGGAAGGACCUAACACCUCAGCUCGUGCUG